UACGAAGGGUCCAAGCGUUGUUCGGAAUCAUUGGGCGUAAAGCGCGCGCAGGCGGAUCAGCAAGUCAGAUGUGAAAUCUCGAAGCUCAACUUCGAAACUGCGUCUGAAACUGCUAGUCUAGAAUAUCGGAGGGGGCAGGGGAAUUUCACGUGUAGGGGUAAAAUCCGUAGAGAUGUGAAGGAACACCGGGGGCGAAGGCGCCUGCCUGGACGAUUAUUGACGCUGAGGCGCGAAAGCGUGGGGAGCAAACAGG
rnacentral:rRNA from 1 species